CUCUUUCCCCUCCCCUUCCUCUUGCUAGCACCUGACCAACAGGCACCAGAUCUGACAUCCCACACCAAGCUUGGCUUCGCUGCUGUGCCUCCCAGAUCCCGAUCUCCCCAUGCCUCCUCCGAUCCCUCGCUGACCCCGCCGCCGCGAUGGCGUCGCGCCCGCCCCUCCGCACCGCCUCCGCCGCAUCCUACUCCUCCACCGACUCCCCCACCUCCGCUGGACCCCCCGGCGGCGUUCCGCAGUCCAUCACCGCGCUCCUCAACAACCCUCUCACCUCCGCCGCCUCCUCCUACUGGCUGCCCUGGCCGCCCCCGACCCCACUCACCGACGCGGUUCCCCCGCCGCCGUCGCACCCCUGCGAGGUCACCCGCGCCGACUUCGCGCCCUACCUCGCCGCGGUCUCCGAACCCUUAGCGCGCUUCGCCGACAUCCGCCUCCACGCCAACGCCGAGCUCGCCGCCUCCGACGACGCCUCCGCCGCACCCGCGUCCUCCGGCCUCGCCGCAUGCCUCCGCGAGGUCCCCGCACUCUUCUUCAAGGAGGACUUCGCGCUCGAGGAUGGGCCCACCUUCAGGGCCGCGUGCCCGCUCGACGACGACGGGCUGCAGGAGCGCCUCGGCCAGCACCUCGACGUUGUGGAGCAGCACCUCGUGCGGGAGAUCGCGCUGCGGUCCGAGUCCUUCUACGAGGCGCAGGGCCGGCUGCGCGCGCUCGACGGGGAGAUUGUUACGGCGGUAGGGAGGAUCCGCGACCUCAGGGAGGUGGUCCGGGUGCUCACGGGGGGCCUUGUUGGGGCAGCGCGGCAGGUGCAGGAACUCAAUGCGACGAGGGGCAACCUUGUCGCCCUGCAGCAGAAGCUCACUGUCAUCCUCUACGUCAGCCAGGCGCUCGCAGCGCUCAAGCUGCUUGUUGCAGCAGCAGACUGUGCUGGUGCCCUUGAUGUCAUCGAUGACUUGCAAAAUUUGCUGGAUACAGAUGAACUUACUGGUCUUUAUUGCUUUCGAAAUAUUCGAGAUCAGCUGGGAACAUCACUAGAUUCAGUGUACAGCAUUCUUUCAGCAGAAUUUGUGCACGCUGCUGUUCCUGAUGGAAAAGCUGUAGAUGCAAUGAUUUUAUCAAAUGUCAAAAGAAAAGCUUCCAGCCCACUGAAUGGGAUAGAGCAUGAGGUAAACAUUGACGAGGAGGAAAGAUUUGUUCUUAGAGAUCGACUCCUCCCCCUCAUUAUUUGCCUGCUGAGAACGGACAAACUUCCUGCAGUUCUCAGAAUUUACCGGGAUACGCUUAUCACUGUUAUGAAAGCUUCAAUCAAAGCCACUGUAGCAGAUUUGCUUCCAGUUUUAACUGCCAGACCAAUAGAUUCUGAUUCAGUAACUGGAGACAGAGCUGCCGAUUCUGAUGCUGGAGGCCAGUCCCUAGCAAAUAAGUUGCGAAGUCUGUCAUCUGAAGGGUUUGUUCAACUUUUAUCAGCUAUUUUUAGGAUAGUACAGAUACAUUUACUGCAAGCAGCUGAAGUGAAAAGAAUAGUUGAGUGGAUCAUGGGAAACCUUGAUGUUAGUAAUCCUACGCUUCAACAUGGUGGUUCAGCUGUUUCUGAUAUUUCCCAAGAGAAUGACUAUAGUGUUUCUUCACGGGUCUCUAAUACUCUUACACGGAGUACUUCCAAGAUCCCAUUGGUCCAAGGAAAAGCAAAUGAUUUAUCCAUUACAAAUUCAAUAAAGAAUGUCCGGGCUGAUGUCUUGAGAGAAAACACCGAAGCAGUUUUUGCCGCAUGUGAUGCUGCCCAUGGGCGAUGGGCUAAGCUGCUGGGUGUCCGUGCUGCUCUACAUCCCAAGUUAAGGCUCCAGGAGUUCUUGAUCAUCUACAAUAUAACAGAAGAGUUUAUAGCUUCUACUGAAAAGAUUGGAGGCAGGUUGGGUUACAACAUUCGUGGAAUCCUACAGCAACAAUCAAAACAAUUCGUUGAUCAUCAGCAUAGUGUUCGGAUGACAAAAAUCAAGGCAGUUCUUGACCAAGAGACGUGGGUUCUUGUUGAUGUUCCGGAAGAGUUCCAAGCAAUUGUUCUUUCACUGUCAUCCACCUAUUCUUCUGUUAACGGCAUGGGGAUGCCUAGCACUGAUGAUAACUCUAAGUUCAAUGAUCAUGGGCCUACAAGUCAAGAACUGGCAUGUUCAGCUGAAAAUAAUGCUGAUAAUGGCAAAGUAACAUCUGUGACAGGCCAUGAAAGCAAGAUUGAGUCCACUUCUCUUCAGACUGAAAAUAGUGUUGUUGGGAAUGCCAGGUCAACCUCGCAGACCAUUGUACAUGGAGGUGUUGGCUAUCAUAUGGUAAACUGUGGUUUGAUAUUGUUGAAGAUGUUAUCAGAAUAUGUUGACAUUAGUAAAUGUUUACCAUCAUUAUCUUUUGAGGUGGUCCAACGUGUUGUGGAAAUACUGAAGCUUUUCAACACUAGGACUUGCCAACUUGUUCUUGGUGCAGGCGCCAUGCAGGUUUCUGGUCUUAAAUCAAUUACUUCUAAGCAUUUAGCUUUGGCGAGCCAAAUUAUUAGCUUUAUAUAUUCGUUAAUUCCAGAUAUCAGGCGAGUACUUUUCCUGAAAAUACCUGAAGCACGCAAACAGCUGUUAAUGUCUGAACUGGAUAGAGUCACUCAGGAUUACAAGAUUCAUCGAGAUGAAAUUCACAGCAAGCUUGUCCAGAUAAUGAGAGAGAGAUUGCUAGCAAAUCUUAGAAAAUUACCCCAAAUUCUGGAGGGUUGGAAUGGACCAGAGGAUAAUGAUUUGCAGCCAAGUCCAUUUGCUAAAGCCGUUACAAAGGAAGUAACUUAUUUGCAUCGCAUCCUUUCUCAAACAUUGCUUGAGGUUGAUGUGCAAACAAUAUUCAGGCAAGUAGUUCAAAUAUUCCAUUCACAUAUUACAGAAGCAUUUUCAAAAUUGGAAGUUAGUACUCAGGCAAAGAACAGAUUGUGCCGAGAUAUUCAGCAUAUUCUUGCAUGUAUCCGGAAGUUGCCUACUGAGAAUUUCAGUGCAGAAACUAUUCAAAAUUAUGGUCUUCUUGAUGAAUUCUUGGCUGAGAACUUUGGGACGAAAGUUGAUGAAUGAUUUACUGUACAUUAAGAACUGACUCAUAUCUGCAAAUGUUCACUCGUGGAAAAUAUGUUAAAUGGGAAGUGCUCCAAGACAUUGCCAUUUUUGGCAUAAAAUUCUGUGCAGUGAUAACCAUGCAGGUAUUGCUGUGCGGUGCAGUGAAAAACGAGCUCCCUUAAUGACAUCAAAGUAACAUCUUGACGCUCAUGCACUUCCCAAGAUGAAAGUUUUGCUCAAUAGCUCUGUCAUGUCAGGCCACAUUUCUUUCUUUCUUUCUUUCUUUCAAUAGUAUUUUGAUCCCGCUUUGGGGUGCUAAUAUUGGUUAGAUGCUGUUAUAGAGGGAACCUGAGAGGUUUUGGCAGCACGACCUAUUCUUUGCAUGGUGCUUCAUGCUGUUAGGUUCAAUGUAUGGAACAUGCUGUCGAGAUGACAGCCCAUGUAUUUUGUUCCUGUAAGGUUUGUAAUUAUUCAUCUUGGUGCGAAAAUAAGCAAUUGUUAUAUGCUCAUAGGCAAAGCUUCAAGCUGUGCAUUGAUAUAUACAGGAAACUUGCAGUUUAUUUGUA